UGGGGAAUUUUGGACAAUGGGCGAAAGCCUGAUCCAGCAAUGCCGCGUGUGUGAGGAAGGCCUUCGGGUUGUAAAGCACUUUUGUCCGGAAAGAAAUCCUUGGCUCUAAUACAGUCGGGGGGAUGACGGUACCGGAAGAAUAAGCACCGGCUAACUACGUGCCAGCAGCCGCGGUAAUACGUAGGGUGCAAGCGUUAAUCGGAAUUACUGGGCGUAAAGCGUGCGCAGGCGGUUUGCUAAGACCGAUGUGAAAUCCCCGGGCUCAACCUGGGAACUGCAUUGGUGACUGGCAGGCUAGAGUAUGGCAGAGGGGGGUAGAAUUCCACGUGUAGCAGUGAAAUGCGUAGAGAUGUGGAGGAAUACCGAUGGCGAAGGCAGCCCCCCUGGGCCAAUACUGACGCUCAUGCACGAAAGCGUGGGGAGCAAACAGGAUUAGAUACCCUGGUAGUCCACGCCCUAAACGAUGUCACUAGUUGUUGGGGAUUCAUUUCCUAGUACGUAGCUAACGCGUGAAGUUGACCGCCUGGGGAGUACGGUCGCAAGAUUAAACUUAAUGAAUUGACGGGGUCAUAGCUGUUUCCU
rnacentral:rRNA from 1 species